UUAAUUGAAGAGUUUGAUCAUGGCUCAGAUUGAACGCUGGCGGUAGGCUUAACACAUGCAAGUCGAGCGGAAACGAAGAAUAGCUUGCUAUUCUGGCGUCGAGCGGCGGACGGGUGAGUAAUGCUUGGGAAUCUGCCUAGUCGAGGGGGACAACAGUUGGAAACGACUGCUAAUACCGCAUACGACCUACGGGUGAAAGGGGGCCUCUUCUUGAAAGCUCUCGCGACUAGAUGAGCCCAAGUGGGAUUAGCUUGUUGGUGAGGUAAGAGCUCACCAAGGCGACGAUCCCUAGCUGGUCUGAGAGGAUGAUCAGCCACACUGGAACUGAGACACGGUCCAGACUCCUACGGGAGGCAGCAGUGGGGAAUAUUGCACAAUGGGCGAAAGCCUGAUGCAGCCAUACCGCGUGUAUGAAGAAGGCCUUCGGGUUGUAAAGUACUUUCAGCGAGGAGGAAAGGUGAUAAAUUAAUACUUUAUCACUGUGACGUUACUCGCAGAAGAAGCACCGGCUAACUCCGUGCCAGCAGCCGCGGUAAUACGGAGGGUGCAAGCGUUAAUCGGAAUUACUGGGCGUAAAGCGCAUGCAGGCGGUUUGUUAAGCGAGAUGUGAAAGCCCCGGGCUCAACCUGAACUGCAUUUCGAACUGGCAAACUAGAGUUCUUGAGAGGGUGGUAGAAUUUCAGGUGUAGCGGUGAAAUGCGUAGAGAUCUGAAGGAAUACCAGUGGCGAAGGCGGCCACCCGGCGAAGUAACUGACGCUCAGAUGCGAAAGCGUGGGUAGCAAACGGGAUUAGAUACCCCGGUAGUCCACGCCGUAAACGAUGUCUACUCGGAGUUUGGUUCCUUGAGAACUGGGCUCUUAAGCUAACGCAUUAAGUAGACCGCCCAGGGAGUACGGCCGCAAGGUUAAAACUCAAAUGAAUUGAUCGGGGGCCCGCACAAGCGGUGGAGCAUGUGGUUUAAUUCGAUGCAACGCGAAGAACCUUACCUACUCUUGACAUCCAUAGAACUUUUCAGAGAUGAAUUGGUGCCUUCGGGAACUAUGAGACAGGUGCUGCAUGGCUGUCGUCAGCUCGUGUUGUGAAAUGUUGGGUUAAGUCCCGCAACGAGCGCAACCCUUAUCCCUUAUUUGCCAGCACGUAAUGGUGGGAACUCUAAGGAGACUGCCGGUGAUAAACCGGAGGAAGGUGGGGACGACGUCAAGUCAUCAUGGCCCUUACGAGUAGGGCUACACACGUGCUACAAUGGCGCAUACAAAGGGCUGCAAACCAGCGAUGGUAAGCGAAUCCCAUAAAGUGCGUCGUAGUCCGGAUUGGGGUCUGCAACUCGACCCCAUGAAGUCGGAAUCGCUAGUAAUCGUGAAUCAGAAUGUCACGGUGAAUACGUUCCCGGCCUUGUACACACCGCCCGUCACACCAUGGGAGUGGGCUGCACCAGAAGUCAUUAGCUUAACCUUCGGAGGGCGAUGACCACGGUGUGGUUCAUGACUGGGGUGAAGUCGUAACAAGGUAGCCCUAGGGGAACCUGGCUGGAUCACCUCCCUUACGUAAAG
rnacentral:rRNA from 1 species